GACGAACGCUGGCGGCGUGCUUAACACAUGCAAGUCGAACGAAGUGGCGAACGGGUGAGUAACGCGUAAUCAACCUGCCCUUCAGAGGGGUACAACAGUGGGAACCGACUGCUAAUACCGCAUGAUGAAGGGGGGGGUGGCGUUUGCUUAGCUGGGUGGGGGGGUAACGGCCCACCAAGGCGAUGAUCAGUAGCCGGUCUGGGAGGAUGAACGGCCACAUUGGGACUGGGACACGGCCCAGAAGCCUACGGGAGGCAGCCGUGGGGAAUCUUCCGAAAUGGACGAAAGUCUGACGGAGCAACGCCGCGUGAUUGAUGACGGCCUUCGGGUUGUAAAGCUCUGUUAAUCGGGACGCGGUACCGGAAUAGAAAGCCACGGCUAACUACGUGCCAGCCGCCGCGGUAAUAC
rnacentral:rRNA from 1 species